GAUAAAUCCUGAUCGGAGCUACCAAAUUUCACAAUUCCCCUUCAUUUCCGAGCAAUUCUUCGGCGGAGAGAAGAUGGGGCUGACAUUCACGAAGCUGUUCAGCCGCCUCUUCGCGAAGAAGGAGAUGCGGAUCCUCAUGGUCGGUCUCGAUGCGGCCGGUAAGACGACGAUUCUGUAUAAGCUCAAGCUCGGAGAGAUUGUCACCACGAUCCCUACUAUCGGAUUCAAUGUGGAGACUGUCGAGUACAAGAACAUAAGCUUUACAGUUUGGGAUGUUGGAGGUCAAGAUAAGAUCAGGCCACUAUGGAGGCACUACUUCCAGAAUACCCAGGGUCUUAUUUUUGUUGUGGACAGCAAUGACAGGGAUCGGGUUGUUGAGGCAAGGGAUGAGCUUCACAGAAUGCUAAAUGAGGAUGAGUUGCGAGAUGCUGUCUUACUUGUGUUUGCGAACAAACAAGAUCUGCCUAAUGCAAUGAAUGCUGCUGAA
rnacentral:misc_RNA from 1 species